UGAUCGAGCACUAGGCGGAGGUCUUAUCAGUUUUGAAAGGGGUUGUAGCUGGUCUCUUACAGGAGGCAUGUGCACACUCUGCUCAAUCCACUUUACACCUGUGCACUUACUGUAGGCUUUAGAUGUGGAAAGCACAAUAAGUUUUUUGUGUUUUGAAGUAUUUGAAGCUUAUGUUUAUUAUAAACCCUAAAGUAUUAAAAUGUUUAUUAUGAUGUGACAUACAUCUUUAUAUACAACUUUCAGCAACGGAUCUCUUGGCUCUCGCAUCGAUGAAGAACGCAGCGAAAUGCGAUAAGUAAUGUGAAUUGCAGAAUUCAGUGAAUCAUCGAAUCUUUGAACGCACCUUGCGCUCCUUAGUAUUCUGAGGAGCAUGCCUGUUUGAGUGUCAUGAUAUUCUCAACCUAUAAAGCUUUUGUUUUAUAGGAUUGGACUUGAAGGUGUGUUGGGUUAAUACUCAGCUCCUUUUAAAUGCAUUAGCUUGGUUUCUUAUGGAUCAGCUCUUGGUGUGAUAAAUGUUCUAUAUCAUGGCUGUGAAGUGUUUGACAAGCUUUAAACUGUCUUUGUGAUAUACAUAAAGAUAUUUUUAAUGACUUUCUCUGACCUCAAAUCAGGUAGGACUACCCGCUGAACUUAAGCAUAUCAAUAAGCGGAGGAA
rnacentral:rRNA from 1 species